CUCAUUUUCAACUCGCUGAAACUGCAUGUUGCUUUGUUAAAUGGACUGGGAUAAAACGCUGAAGGUUCUCGCUGAAAAAGGUGUUUAAAAGUUGCUGAAAACGACUGCUGAAGAAAAGAUGGCAUAAUGUCUCCCAGUCAGCAUCCUUUCAG